rnacentral:rRNA from 1 species
CAGCAUGAGAAACGGCUACCACAUCUAAGGAAGGCAGGAGGCGCGUAAAUUACCCAAUCCUGACUCAGGGAGGUAGUGACAAGAAAUAGCAAACCGGGGAUCUCACGAUCUUACAGUAUUGCAAUGAGAACAAUUUAAAACACUUAGCGAGGAACAAAUUGAGGACAAGUCUGGUGCCAGCACCCACGGUAAUUCCAGCUCAAUUAGCGUAUAUUAAAGUUGUUGCAGUUAAAAAGCUCGUAGUUGAACCUCUGUUUGGGACUAAUUUUGGCUUCUGUCAGGUUAGUUUCAAGCAUCCGCUUGCAAAACCUAGCCGUCAUUCACUUGUCGCUAGGAGGAGCAGGCAUUUUACUUUGAAAAAAUUAGAGUGUUUAAGGCAGGCAAUUGCCCGCAUAUAUUAGCAUGGAAUAAUAGAAUAGGACACUUUUCCAUUUCGUUGGUUAUUGGAAUCGUGUAAUGAUUAAUAGGGACAGUUGUGGGCAUUUGUAUUUAAUUGUCAGAUGUGAAAUACUUGGAUUUAUUAAAGACAAACUAACGCGAAAGCAUUUGCCAAGGAUGUUUUCAUUAACCAAGAACGAAAGUUAGGGGAUCAAAGACGAUCAGAUACCGUCAUAGUCUUAACUAUAAACUAUUCCGACUCAAUGUUCGACUGGCUUAUAUAACCAGUUGAGCGUUGUAUGAGAAAUCAAAGUCUUUAGGUUCUGGGGGGAGUAUGGUUGCAAAGCUGAAACUUAAAGGAAUUGACGGAAGAGCACAACCAGGAGUGGAUUCUGCGGCUUAAUUUGACUCAACACGGGGAAACUUACCAGGUUAAAACAAUAGUGGGAUUGACAGUUUGAGAGCGCUUUCUUGAUUCGUUGGGUGGUGGUGCAUGGCCGUUCUUAGUUGGUGGAGUGAUUUGUCUGCUUAAUUGCGUUAACGAACGAGACCUUAACCUGCUUACUAGACUGCCGAUGUAUAAUCGACAGCUCUUCUUAGAGGGACUUUGGUUGUUUUAACUUCAAGGAAGUUUGAGGCAAUAACAGGUCUGUGAUGCCCUUAGAUAUCCUGGGCCGCACGCGUCAUACAAUGACCAGUUCAGAAAGUUUCAUCCUGAUCCGGAAGGAUACGGGUAAUCUUGACAGUACUGGUCGUGUUAGGGAUCGAUCUUUGCAAUUAUAGAUUUUGAACGAGGAAUUCCUAGUAAGUGCAGUUCAUCAGACUGUACUGAUUACGUCCCUGCUCUUUGUACACACCGCCCGUCGCUUCUACCGAGCGAGUGGUCCGGUGAGAUACUUGAACUUGGCCGGAUUUAUCCGAUCGGGGAAGAUUAUCAAACCUAUCCACUUCGAGGAAGAAGAAGUCGUAACAAGGUU